rnacentral:rRNA from 1 species
GACGUAGGGCGCAAGCGUUGUCCGGAUUUAUUGGGCGUAAAGAGCUCGUAGGCGGCUUGUUGCGUCGACUGUGAAAUCCCGCGGCUUAACUGCGGGCUUGCGGUCGAUACGGGCAGGCUCGAGUUCGGUAGGGGAGACUGGAAUUCCUGGUGUAGCGGUGAAAUGCGCAGAUAUCAGGAGGAACACCGGUGGCGAAGGCGGGUCUCUGGGCCGAUACUGACGCUGAGGAGCGAAAGCGUGGGGAGCGAACAGG